rnacentral:rRNA from 1 species
UGGGGAAUAUUGCGCAAUGGGGGAAACCCUGACGCAGCAACGCCGCGUGAGUGAUGAAGGUCUUCGGAUUGUAAAACUCUGUCUUCAGGGACGAUAAUGACGGUACCUGAGGAGGAAGCCACGGCUAACUACGUGCCAGCAGCCGCGGUAAUACGUAGGUGGCAAGCGUUGUCCGGAUUUACUGGGCGUAAAGAGUAUGUAGGCGGAUAUUUAAGUCAGAUGUGAAAUUCCCGGGCUUAACCUGGGAGCUGCAUUUGAUACUGGAUAUCUAGAGUGCAGGAGAGGAAAGUGGAAUUCCUAGUGUAGCGGUGAAAUGCGUAGAGAUUAGGAAGAACACCAGUGGCGAAGGCGACUUUCUGGACUGUAACUGACGCUGAGAUACGAAAGCGUGGGGAGCAAACA